rnacentral:rRNA from 1 species
UACGAAGGGGGCUAGCGUUGUUCGGAAUUACUGGGCGUAAAGCGCACGUAGGCGGAUAUUUAAGUCGGGGGUGAAAUCCCAGGGCUCAACCCUGGAACUGCCUCCGAUACUGGAUAUCUCGAGUCCGAGAGAGGUGAGUGGAAUUCCGAGUGUAGAGGUGAAAUUCGUAGAUAUUCGGAAGAACACCAGUGGCGAAGGCGGCUCACUGGCUCGGAACUGACGCUGAGGAGCGAAAGCAUGGGGAGCGAACAGG